rnacentral:rRNA from 1 species
UACGAAGGGGGCUAGCGUUGUUCGGAAUUACUGGGCGUAAAGCGCGUGUAGGCGGGUCUUUAAGUCAGGGGUGAAAUGCCAAGGCUCAACCUUGGAACUGCCUUUGAUACUGGAGAUCUUGAGUCCGGGAGAGGUGAGUGGAACUGCGAGUGUAGAGGUGAAAUUCGUAGAUAUUCGCAAGAACACCAGUGGCGAAGGCGGCUCACUGGUCCGGUACUGACGCUGAGGUGCGAAAGCGUGGGGAGCAAACAGG